CUAUACAUGCAGUCGAGCGAACGGACGAGAGUGCUUGCACUCUCUGAUGUUAGCGGCGGACGGGUGAGUAACACGUGGGUAACCUACCUAUAAGACUGGGAUAACUUCGGGAAACCGGAGCUAAUACCGGAUAAUAUUUAGCUUCGCAUGAAGCAAUAGUGAAAGACGGUUCUGCUGUCACUUAUAGAUGGACCCGCGGUGUAUUAGCUAGUUGGCGAGGUAACGGCUCACCAAGGCAACGAUACAUAGCCGACCUGAGAGGGUGAUCGGCCACACUGGGACUGAGACACGGCCCAGACUCCUACGGGAGGCAGCAGUAGGGAAUCUUCCGCAAUGGACGAAAGUCUGACGGAGCAACGCCGCGUGAGUGAAGAAGGUUUUCGGAUCGUAAAACUCUGUUGUAAGGGAAGAACAAGUACGUUAGUAACUGAACGUACCUUGACGGUACCUUACCAGAAAGCCACGGCUAACUACGUGCCAGCAGCCGCGGUAAUACGUAGGUGGCAAGCGUUAUCCGGAAUUAUUGGGCGUAAAGCGCGCGUAGGCGGUCUCUUAAGUCUGAUGUGAAAGCCCCCGGCUCAACCGGGGAGGGUCAUUGGAAACUGGGAGACUUGAGUGCAGAAGAGGAGAGUGGAAUUCCAUGUGUAGCGGUGAAAUGCGCAGAGAUAUGGAGGAACACCAGUGGCGAAGGCGGCUCUCUGGUCUGUAACUGACGCUGAGGUGCGAAAGCGUGGGGAUCAAACAGGAUUAGAUACCCUGGUAGUCCACGCCGUAAACGAUGAGUG
rnacentral:rRNA from 1 species